rfam:Streptomyces sp. C genomic scaffold supercont1.3, whole genome shotgun sequence.
CUUGAUCGAGCCGAGCAGCAGCGGCCGGUCCGCGGGACGGUCCUGCCCGUACGUGGCCAGCAGCGCCUGGGCCUC